rnacentral:tRNA from 1 species
GGUCUAUUAGUCUAGUUGGUUAGGACGUCGGAUUCUGAUUAAACCCCCAGAACCUUCCGUAGGCCCAGGUUCGAAUCCUGGAUGGACCU